GAUGAACGCUGGCGGCGUGCCUAAUACAUGCAAGUCGAGCGAACGGACGAGAAGCUUGCUUCUCUGAUGUUAGCGGCGGACGGGUGAGUAACACGUGGAUAACCUACCUAUAAGACUGGGAUAACUUCGGGAAACCGGAGCUAAUACCGGAUAAUAUUUUGAACCGCAUGGUUCAAAAGUGAAAGACGGUCUUGCUGUCACUUAUAGAUGGAUCCGCGCUGCAUUAGCUAGUUGGUAAGGUAACGGCUUACCAAGGCAACGAUGCAUAGCCGACCUGAGAGGGUGAUCGGCCACACUGGAACUGAGACACGGUCCAGACUCCUACGGGAGGCAGCAGUAGGGAAUCUUCCGCAAUGGGCGAAAGCCUGACGGAGCAACGCCGCGUGAGUGAUGAAGGUCUUCGGAUCGUAAAACUCUGUUAUUAGGGAAGAACAUAUGUGUAAGUAACUGUGCACAUCUUGACGGUACCUAAUCAGAAAGCCACGGCUAACUACGUGCCAGCAGCCGCGGUAAUACGUAGGUGGCAAGCGUUAUCCGGAAUUAUUGGGCGUAAAGCGCGCGUAGGCGGUUUUUUAAGUCUGAUGUGAAAGCCCACGGCUCAACCGUGGAGGGUCAUUGGAAACUGGAAAACUUGAGUGCAGAAGAGGAAAGUGGAAUUCCAUGUGUAGCGGUGAAAUGCGCAGAGAUAUGGAGGAACACCAGUGGCGAAGGCGACUUUCUGGUCUGUAACUGACGCUGAUGUGCGAAAGCGUGGGGAUCGAACAGGAUUAGAUACCCUGGUAGUCCACGCCGUAAACGAUGAGUGCUAAGUGUUAGGGGGUUUCCGCCCCUUAGUGCUGCAGCUAACGCAUUAAGCACUCCGCCUGGGGAGUACGACCGCAAGGUUGAAACUCAAAGGAAUUGACGGGGACCCGCACAAGCGGUGGGGCAUGUGGUUUAAUUCGAAGCAACGCGAAGAACCUUACCAAAUCUUGACAUCCUUUGACAACUCUAGAGAUAGAGCCUUCCCCUUCGGGGGACAAAGUGACAGGUGGUGCAUGGUUGUCGUCAGCUCGUGUCGUGAGAUGUUGGGUUAAGUCCCGCAACGAGCGCAACCCUUAAGCUUAGUUGCCAUCAUUAAGUUGGGCACUCUAAGUUGACUGCCGGUGACAAACCGGAGGAAGGUGGGGAUGACGUCAAAUCAUCAUGCCCCUUAUGAUUUGGGCUACACACGUGCUACAAUGGACAAUACAAAGGGCAGCGAAACCGCGAGGUCAAGCAAAUCCCAUAAAGUUGUUCUCAGUUCGGAUUGUAGUCUGCAACUCGACUACAUGAAGCUGGAAUCGCUAGUAAUCGUAGAUCAGCAUGCUACGGUGAAUACGUUCCCGGGUCU
rnacentral:rRNA from 1 species